AUUGAACGCUAGCGGCAUGCUUUACACAUGCAAGUCGAGCGGCAGCGCGGGGGCAACCCUGGCGGCGAGCGGCGAACGGGUGAGUAAUGCAUCGGAACGUACCCUGGAGUGGGGGAUAACGCCGCGAAAGCGGCGCUAAUACCGCAUAUGCUCUGAGGAGGAAAGUGGGGGACCGCAAGGCCUCACGCUCUGGGAGCGGCCGAUGUCCGAUUAGCUAGUUGGUGAGGUAAAGGCUUACCAAGGCGACGAUCGGUAGCUGGUCUGAGAGGAUGAUCAGCCACACUGGGACUGAGACACGGCCGAGACUCCUACGGGAGGCAGCAGUGGGGAAUUUUGGACAAUGGGGGCAACCCUGAUCCAGCCAUGCCGCGUGAGUGAAGAAGGCCUUCGGGUUGUAAAGCUCUUUUGGUCGGGAAGAAAGUGCCCUGCUUAAUACGCGGGGUAUUUGACGGUACCGGCAGAAUAAGCACCGGCUAACUACGUGCCAGCAGCCGCAGUAAGAC
rnacentral:rRNA from 1 species